rnacentral:tRNA from 1 species
GGCGCUACAACGCGAAAAGCAGGUUCUCAUCCUGUAAACCUGGGUUCGAUUCCCAGUAGCGUCA